CCUACAGGCGGCAGCAGUGAGGAAUAUUGGUCAAUGGGCUAAGGCCUGAACCAGCCAAGUCGCGUGAGGGAAGACGGUCCUAUGGAUUGUAAACCUCUUUUGUCGGGGAGCAACGAGGCCACGUGUGGCCGAAGUGAGAGUACCCGAAGAAAAAGCAUCGGCUAACUCCGUGCCAGCAGCCGCGGUAAGACGGAGGAUGCGAGCGUUAUCCGGAUUUACUGGGUGGAAGGGGGGCGCAGGCGGCAUGGCAAGCCAGGAGUGAAAGCCCGGGGCCCAACCCCGGGACUGCUCUUGGAACUGGAUGGAGGGAGUACAGGAGGGGAAGGCGGAAUUCCGAGUGUAGCGGUGAAAUGCGUAGAUAUUAGGAGGAACACCGGUGGCGAAGGCGGCCUGCUGGACUGUGACUGACGUUGAGGCCCGAAGGCGUGGGGAGCAAACAGGAUUAGAUACCCUAGUAGUC
rnacentral:rRNA from 1 species